CCAAUAGCGUAUAUUAAAGUUGUUGCAGUUAAAAAGCUCGUAGUUGAAUUUCGGGGUUAGUAGGUUGGUCAUGCCUCUGGUAUGUACUGGUAUCACUGAUUCCUCCUUCCUGAUGAACCGUAAUGCCAUUAAUUUGGUGUUGCGGGGAAUUUGGACUGUUACUUUGAAAAAAUUAGAGUGUUUAAAGCAGGCAUUUUGCUUGAAUACAUUAGCAUGGAAUAAUAAAAUAGGACGGCAUGAUUCUAUUUUGUUGGUUUCUAGGAUCACCGUAAUGAUUAAUAGGGAUAGUUGGGGGCAUUAGUAUUCAAUUGUCAGAGGUGAAAUUCUUGGAUUUAUUGAAGACUAACUACUGCGAAAGCAUUUGCCAAGGAUGUUUUCAUUAAUCAAGAACGAAAGUUAGGGGAUCGAAGACGAUCAGAUACCGUCGUAGUCUUAACCAUAAACUAUGCCGACUAGGAAUCAGACGAUGUUAAUUUUUUAAUGACUCGUUUGGCACCUUACG
rnacentral:rRNA from 1 species